rnacentral:rRNA from 1 species
GAUGAACGCUGGCGGCGUGCCUAAUACAUGCAAGUCGAGCGAACAGACGAGGAGCUUGCUCCUCUGACGUUAGCGGCGGACGGGUGAGUAACACGUGGAUAACCUACCUAUAAGACUGGGAUAACUUCGGGAAACCGGAGCUAAUACCGGAUAAUAUAUUGAACCGCAUGGUUCAAUAGUGAAAGACGGUUUUGCUGUCACUUAUAGAUGGAUCCGCGCCGCAUUAGCUAGUUGGUAAGGUAACGGCUUACCAAGGCAACGAUGCGUAGCCGACCUGAGAGGGUGAUCGGCCACAGUGGAACGGAGACACGGUCCAGACUCCUACGGGAGGCAGCAGUAGGGAAUCUUCCGCAAUGGGCGAAAGCAUGACGGAGCAACGCCGCGGGAGUGAUGAAGGUCUUCGGAUCGUAAAACUCUGUUAUUAGGGAAGAACAAAUGUGUAAGUAACUAUGCACGUCUUGACGGUACCUAAUCAGAAAGCCACGGCUAACUAC